rnacentral:ncRNA from 16 species
AAUCAUAGAGGUUAAGAAAUCUGCCGAUAACGCUAUUUUAUAGAAAUGUGGGAGAGGAGGCAGUCCCACCUAUGUUU